rnacentral:rRNA from 1 species
AGUGAACGCUGGCGGCAGGCCUAAUACAUGCAAGUCGAACGGCAGCACAGCAGAGCUUGCUCUGUGGGUGGCGAGUGGCGGACGGGUGAGGAAUACAUGGGAAUCUGCCCAGUCGUGGGGGAUAACGUAUGGAAACGUACGCUAAUACCGCAUGCGCCCUACGGGGGAAAGUCGGGGACCGCAAGGCCUGGCGCGAUUGGAUGAGCCCAUGUUCGAUUAGCUAGUUGGCGGGGUAAAGGCCCACCAAGGCGACGAUCGAUAGCUGGUCUGAGAGGAUGAUCAGCCACACUGGAACUGAGACACGGUCCAGACUCCUACGGGAGCAGCAGUAGGGAAUAUUGGACAAUGGGGGCAACCCUGAUCCAGCCAUGCCGCGUGAGUGAAGAAGGCCCUCGGGUUGUAAAGCUCUUUUGUCCGGAAAGAAAGCAAUCGGUUAAUACCCGGUUGUUCUGACGGUACCGGAAGAAUAAGCACCGGCUAACUUCGUGCC